ACUGGAGAAUGGGUUGAAGCUCACCAUGCUGGGGACCCAGAUCACACAUAAGGAAAUUGAUGCUUCUAGGAAUGAAGCACCUUUGCCUAGAUCACAGAAACAUCAACCAACACCUUGGAGACAGCUUAUGAAAAAGAGCCAGACUGCCUUGUCCAGAGAGCUUACCGAAAACACCAGGAAUACCAGAAGCCCCUGGUGUUUCCAGCUUCUAAGACUUUCGAGGAUUCCCCAGGGU